UCUGGUUGAUCCUGCCAGUAGUCAUAUGCUUGUCUCAAAGAUUAAGCCAUGCAAGUCUAAGUACGAGCUCUCGUACAGUGAAACUGCGAAUGGCUCAUUAAAUCAGUUAUGGUUCAUUUGAUCGUACGUUUUACGUGGUUAACUGUGGAAAUGCUAGAGCUAAUACAUGCGUGAAGCGCCGACCUCGCGGGAGGCGUGCUUUUAUCAGACCAAAAACCGACCGGGCUUCGGCCCGCAACCUUUGGUGACUCUGGAUAACUUUGCGGAUCGCACGGUCUCGCACCGGCGACGGAUCAUUCAAGUGUCUGCCCUAUCAACUUUCGUCGGUACGGUACUGGCCUACCGAGGUUCUUACGGGUAACGGAGAAUCAGGGUUCGAUUCCGGAGAGGGAGCCUGAGAAACGGCUACCACAUCCAAGGAAGGCAGCAGGCGCGCAAAUUACCCAUUCCCGACGCGGGGAGGUAGUGACGAAAAAUAACAAUACAGGACUCUAAACGAGGCCCUGUAAUUGGAAUGAGUACACUUUAAAACCUUUAACGAGUAUCCAUUGGAGGGCAAGUCUGGUGCCAGCAGCCGCGGUAAUUCCAGCUCCAAAAGUGUAUAUUUAAGUUGUUGCGGUUAAAAAGCUCGUAGUUGGAUUUUGGGCGCAGGCGGCCGGUCCGUCGCAAGGCGUGUACUGGCCGUCCUGGCCUCACCUCCGGUUCUCCGCCGGUGCCCUUGACUGAGUGUCGGCGGCGGCCGGAACGUUUACUUUGAAAAAAUUAGAGUGUUCAAAGCAGGCGAUUCGCCUGAAUAAUGGUGCAUGGAAUAAUGGAAUAGGACCUCGGUUCUAUUUUGUUGGUUUUCGGAGCGCGAGGUAAUGAUUAAGAGGGACAGACGGGGGCAUUCGUACUGUGCCGUUAGAGGUGAAAUUCUUGGAUCGGCGCAAGACGAACGACUGCGAAAGCAUUUGCCAAGAAUGUUUUCUUUAAUCAAGAGCGAAAGUCAGAGGUUCGAAGACGAUCAGAUACCGUCCUAGUUCUGACUAUAAACGAUGCCAACUAGCGAUCGGGGGGCGUUAGUUUUACGACCUCUCCGGCAGCUUGCGGGAAACCAAAGUCUUUGGGUUCCGGGGGAAGUA
rnacentral:rRNA from 1 species